rnacentral:rRNA from 1 species
UGGGGAAUCUUGCACAAUGGGCGAAAGCCUGAUGCAGCGACGCCGCGUGCGGGAUGAAGGCCUUCUGGUUGUAAACCGCUUUCAGCAGGGACGAGGCCGCAAGGUGACGGUACCUGCAGAAGAAGCCCCGGCUAACUACGUGCCAGCAGCCGCGGUAAUACGUAGGGGGCAAGCGUUAUCCGGAUUCAUUGGGCGUAAAGCGCGCGUAGGCGGUUUGUUAGGUCAGGAGUUAAAUCUGGGGGCUCAACCCCUAUCCGCUCCUGAUACCGGCAGGCUUGAGUCUGGUAGGGGAAGGCGGAAUUCCAAGUGUAGCGGUGAAAUGCGCAGAUAUUUGGAAGAACACCGGUGGCGAAGGCGGCCUUCUGGGCCACGACUGACGCUGAGGCGCGAAAGCUAGGGGAGCGAACAGG